rnacentral:rRNA from 1 species
UACGGAGGGUGCAAGCGUUAUCCGGAUUUACUGGGUUUAAAGGGUGCGUAGGUGGGCCUGUAAGUCAGUGGUGAAAUCUCCGGGCUUAACCCGGAAACUGCCAUUGAUACUAUAGGUCUUGAAUUAUCUGGAGGUAAGCGGAAUAUGUCAUGUAGCGGUGAAAUGCUUAGAUAUGACAUAGAACACCAAUUGCGAAGGCAGCUUACUACGGAUACAUUGACACUGAGGCACGAAAGCGUGGGGAUCAAACAGG